UCAUUUCAGAUAGUUGGUUA
rnacentral:siRNA from 1 species